rnacentral:lncRNA from 1 species
GCAGCUGUGCCCGGGGCUACGAGGCGAAGGCGGCGACCCAUCGCGGGUCCCCCGGGCUCUUCCCUGACGCCCGGACCUGCGGCUGCGAAUCAAAGCUGCUUGGAACCAGGUCUGCUCAGCUCUGAUGGCAAAGGACAGAGCCGAAGCAGUCAGAACUUUUCAUGAGAGGACUAUACAGGGUUCACACACCGCUUCUGUGUGCUUUCUUGCCCCUGUUUCCCAGACACCGAUCCCAUCAGGGUGAAGGGAAAGGAAGUGUCCAGAUGUCUGUCCGCCCAGAACUCCUCCUAACUUUACUCCUUUGGCAGCUUCUCUUGUUUUACCUUCUCUCUGUGGAAUAACCUCUAGAACAGGCUAACGUCAACCCCGGAACUCCCUGCUUAAAAAGCAUUUGGAUAAGUCAGUUGAAAUGCAUUUGAGUCUCAAGAAACAGAAGGCUCAGACAGUUGCCACCACUGUGAAGACUUGCUAUCUCACAUG